GCCGACUUAGCUCAAUCGGUAGAGCAUCUGUCUUGUAAACAGAAGGUCAGGGGUUCGAUUCCCCUAGUCGGCU
rnacentral:tRNA from 1 species